UUACGGUCAAAUCACGCUGAAAACACCGGUUCUCGUUCGAUCACCGAAGUUAAGCAUCGGUAGAGCCAGGUCAGUACUUAGAUGGGGGACCGCUUGGGGGGACACCUGGUACUGUAAG